GGCAGUGGAGGUGAAGGUAUCUCUCUAGAGAUCCCUGUAUACCUAAGGAUUUUACAGGCCUUCUGAAGUUAACAUCUGAUGUUACCAGCUGUAAUGUUGGAAGGUCUGCACCUUGUUGGCAUGAACAAGGAUCUGAUUGGUAAGAAGUUAUUUCAGCUACAGAAGAAGCCUGUCAAAGAUGGACUGACUACAAACUUCAGUAAUUAGCAGGUUCUUAAAGCUAAUGACAGUGAGAACAAGCCCAAAAUUGAAUGCUGUGUAGUCCUAAGGUCGCUUGACCAGCUGUUAGACAGGAUUUUGUCUCCAUGCAACUCCUGAUUGUGGCUAUAGUGGAGUCUCUUAAACUUUCAGUCGUCUGCUUCCUGACUCAUCUCCUGUGGCUAAUGCUGAAGCAGAUAUGGCUGAAUAAAAUCUAU
ensembl:lncRNA